CGCGUUGGCGGUGCGGGACGCGGCCGUCUGGUAGGCGGCCGCGGCCUCCGGGUCGCGGCCCAGGCGGUGCAGC
rnacentral:tRNA from 1 species